UAAGUGUCGAUAUCAUCAUGGCAUGGAACUU
rnacentral:piRNA from 1 species